CUCGCCGUCGGCCGCCGCCGCCUCCAUGUGCGAGUAGAGGAUGUGCUGCAGCUGCGUGUACUCCACCUCCGUCAUCUCCACCAGGCUCAGGCAAGAUGGUGCUUAAAUGACUCAGGAUUUACGGCUGUUUGGGCUGUUUGGAGAACGCGAGCUCUCUGGACACUGGCAGCAACUCCCAACCACCUCAUCUGCACAGACCUGUGAUUGGAACCAAGCUCCAGACUUGCAUCCGUGUGACUUUUUAAUUUUGCCAAGACUUUAAACUGGGUGGUCACAAAAACCCAUCCGUCUGCCUGUGUGUUCAUGAUACGGAGCCAUCACUGGGAACAAGGGUGUCGGCACCCACCCCGUCUGGAAUGCCGGAGCACGCGAGUCUUCGGGGCAUGCCGCGUGGGUCAAACCAGCCUGUUCAGCUGUAGGUGGGCAUCCCUGAAUUUCCUCGGGGGAUGGGUGUCUAGCUCUAGGCUCCAUGGCUAGAGUCAGACCCGUGCAGAGAAAGUGGACAAACCCAGGGACCCGGGACAUCUGCAGAGUCGUGGGCCAACUGACCUUCUGACACAAGAUACAGAACUAGGAUCUGUAUCCCGGCGUGUUAGCCACGGGGGUGCCAGGGAGGGUGAAGGCUGCAGGCGAGGCCCUGGGCCGCCCCCAGCACCUCAGGCCUCACAGCAGGCCAACUCAGUUUUAAACCAUCUGAAAGCUGACCCCUUAACCCCGAAACUACCAGAAUAUGCAUUUACCUCUAAAUCUAUCUGGCACUCUGUUCAUUUUUUAAAAUGAAAACUCUCAUAUGGUCUGAAUCCAUCAAAACAAAAUUUUCACUCCUGCCAAACAAACUGUGUGGGAGUUAGCAGGCCAGAGUUCUGAGGGAGGACGUGCCUAGGAGGGGGCGUGGCAAAUACAGGGGAGACACUAUACCGCCCCCAACCCUCCUCCUCCACCACACUCGCACACACUCACUCGCACACACCUCUCCCUAAGACCCGUACACAGCCACCGGGCUUGGCGCACGUUGCGGGUAAAAGGAGAGGGUGGUCGGUCUUCGUCCGGGCGCCCCCAGAGCAGCACCGGGCCGCACUCCCACAGGGGGCUUGUGUUCUUAUAAAAAGCAAAGGCAGAGGCUUUCGUCCUCCAUCACAGGACCUGAGACAGGUACCAAGAGCUACCAAAUGGUUCAAAUUCAAACAAACAGUGACUGGUUUC